UACGUAGGGUCCAAGCGUUAUCCGGAAUCACUGGGCGUAAAGCGUGCGUAGGCGGCGUGUUAAGUGUGAUGUUAAAUCGUGUGGCUCAACCAUAUCGAUGCAUCGCAUACUGGCAUGCUAGAGGAAGGCAGAGGCAAGUGGAAUUUGUAGUGUAGCAGUGAAAUGCGUAGAUAUUACAAGGAACACCAAUGGCGAAGGCAGCUUGCUGGGCCUUUUCUGACGCUGAGGUACGAAAGCGUGGGGAGCGAACAGG
rnacentral:rRNA from 1 species